UGUGUGUGUCUCAGAUGCUGUCACUCUCAGUAGAGUGGUGUGUGUGUCAGUCGUCUUGAUUCACACACUGACUCCUCCUCAGGACUGACGCCGUGAGCAAACGAGCGUCUGGAUGAAGGACUGAAGAACACACACACUUCAGGCUCAUUCAGCAUCUGUUUCCUUUCAUAUUUAAACACUUUGAGCGAUUUUAAAGCUGCUGUCAGUGAUUUUUUAGGAGUAUCACACAUCAAAUGUUGAGAAAUCACAUCACGCUCAAUUCUGACUGAAGUGACACCCGCAUCCCUCGCUGUCCGUCUGAUAACUCGGUACUUAGUGAAAUCAAGAUUUAUGUGUUUGAAUUCUAUGUAAAAUUUGGCUAACAUUGUUUUAACAUAAACUAAUAAACUUAAUGUGAUGCAUAUAAGUCAGUCAUACAUAAUGAGGUCAGAUUUCUAAAUGCAAGAAAGAAAAAAAACACAUAAUAAUCAACUAUUUGCAUUUAUUUGAUUUUAUUUAAAUAAUAAUUUUUUCGAAAUACAUUUAUACAUAUGGCUUAGAAUCAUCAUAAAUCAGUUCAUUGUGAAAACAAUUUAUUCAGUUCAAAAGCAUGAACAUGGUUCAGAUAUGACUAUAGCUGUGGAACAAGCAAUAUUCAAAUGCAUGAGAUUUAAAGAAGCUGGAUUUAUUGAUGUUAAAUAUAUAAAGCUGGUUAUUUGUUUAUUUAGAACACAUUCUGUUUAUUAGUGCUAUUACAGAAAUCUGACUGGCUUUAUUUAUACAUGACAGACAAAUUUGCAUCACAUUACGUUUUUUAGUUUGGUAAAACUGGGUAAUUCAAAUGUUAAAUGCAAUUCAUAUACAUAAAACAUUUAAUUUAGGCCUUUUUUGAGUGAAGGGGAGUGGCCUGUUUUUUUAGCCAAUCAGAAACCCUGUCAGUCAUUAUGCAUGUUCAGAUUUGCAGACCUCGGUUUGGUGGGUGGGGUUUGAUACAGAUGGUGUGUCUGUCUUAGUAGGUGGAGUUUGGCAUAAAAGGUGUGUGUGUGUGUGCGUGUGUGUGUCUUUUAGUGGGUGGAGUUUAAUAGGGGGCUUGUGUCAGUGGGCGGAGUUUGACACAGAGGGUGUGUCUCAGUGGGUGGAGUUUCUUAUAGAGGGUGUGUGUGUCUUAGUGGGUGGGAUUUGGCAUAUAGGGGACAUGUGUGUAAUUUAGUGGGCGGGGUUUAAUAGGGGGCUUGUGUUAAUGGGCGGAGUUUGACACAGAGGGUGUGUCUCAGUGGGUGGCGUUUCUCAUAGAGGGUGUGUGUGUCUUAAUAGGUGGAGUUUGGCAUAAAGUGUGUGUGUGUGUGUGUGUGUGUGUGUGUGUGUGUGUCUUUUAGUGGGCGGGGUUUAAUAGAUGGCUUGUAUCAGUGGGCGGAGUUUGACACAGAGGUGUGUCUCAGUGGGUGGCGUUUCUCAUAGAGGGUGUGUCUCAGUGGGUGGCGUUUCUCAUAGAGGGUGUGUGUGUCUUAGUGGGCGGGGUUUAGCACAGAAGGCGUGUGUGUGUUAGUGGGUGGAGUCAGGGGCGUGUGCGAUUGAAGCUGAAAAACUCCUGAAAUCACUUGUGGCACCUUUAACAAUCAGACACUUUGUUCAGAACUUAUAACCUCUUAAAAGGUCAAACAAAAAACUUUAUAUUUGUGUUACCAAAUGGUCCGUUCACACAGGACGUGUUCCUGCUUUUAAACACCUGGACUGAGAUCAGUGCAACAGAACAGAAG